GAGGAAUAUUGGUCAAUGGACGCAAGUCUGAACCAGCCACGUCGCGUGAAGGAAGACGGCCCUACGGGUUGUAAACUUCUUUUAUACGGGAAUAAAGUGCCCCACGUGUGGGGUUUUGCAUGUACCGUAUGAAUAAGGAUCGGCUAACUCCGUGCCAGCAGCCGCGGUAAUACGGAGGGUGCAAGCGUUAUCCGGAUUCACUGGGUUUAAAGGGUGCGUAGGCGGGCAGGUAAGUCAGUGGUGAAAUCCUGGAGCUUAACUCCAGAACUGCCAUUGAUACUAUCUGUCUUCAAUAUUGUGGAGGUAAGCGGAAUAUGUCAUGUAGCGGCGAAAUGCUUAGAUAUGACAUAGAACACCUAUUGCGAAGGCAGCUUACUACGCAUAUAUUGACGCUGAGGCACGAAAGCGUGGGGAUCAAACA
rnacentral:rRNA from 1 species